ensembl:lncRNA
CUUCAGUAUUAGUGGUUGGGGUAUAGACUUAGAUUACUGUGAUACUGAAUGGUUUGCCUUGGAAAUGAACAGAGUUCAUUCUGUCAUUUUGAGAUUGUACCCAUCUUAGGCCAGUUACCUAAGUUCUCUGUGCUUCCAUAUGUGAGUGGUGUGAUCUUAGUCAAGUUGCAUAACCUUUUCGUGCUUCCAUAUCUUAGCUGUGUGAUCUUAGACAAUUUGUGUGACCUUUUCUGUGCUUCCACUUAUGAGCUGUGUGAUCUUGGGCAAGUUGCCUGACCUCCCUUUGCUUCCAUUUCUGAGCCCUGUGAUCUUAGGCAAGUUGCCUACCUCUCUAUGCUUCAGUAUCUUACCUGUGUUAUUGUAUGUAAUUUGCCUGACCACUCUGUUCUUCUAAUUUUGAACUGUCUGAUCUUAAGCAAGUUGCCUAAUCCCUUUUUGCUUCCACUUCUGAGUUGUGCAAUUGUAGGCAAGUUGCCUGUUUUUACUGUGUUUCCACAUCUGAGCUGUGUGAUCUUAGGCAAGGUGCCUGACCUGUAGGUACUUCCUCUCCUGAACUGUCCUAUCUUAGUCAAGGUGCCUGAACUCUCUGUGCUUCCCCUUAAGAGCUGUGUGAUCUUAGGCAAUUUGCAUGACCUCUCUGUGUUUCCACCUAUGAGCUGUAUGAACUUAGUUAAGAUGCCUAACCUCUCUGUGUUUCCACAUGAGCUGUGUGUUCUUAGGCAUGUUGCCUAACCUCUCUGUGCUUCUAUAUGGGAGCUGUGUGAUCUUAGGCAAGUUGCGUAAACUCUCUGUGUUUCCAAAUUUGAGUUGUGUGAUCUUAGGCAAGCUUCCUGACCUCUCUGUGCUUACACUUCUGACUUGUGUCAUCUUAGGCAAGUUGCCUGUCCUCUCUGUUCUUCCAGCUCUGAGCUGAGUGAUCUUAGGCAAGUUACCUGAACUCUCUGUGCUACCACUUUGGAGCUGUGUGAUCCUAAGCAAGUAGCCUGACCUCUAGUGCUUUCUUUAUGAGCUGUGUGAUGUUUGGGAAGUUUUCUGGUAUCUGUGUGCUCUGUGAUCCACAUCUGAGCUGUGUGAUCUUAGGCAAUUCGUCUAACUUCUGUGCUUCCAUAUCUAAGCUGUGUGACCUUAGGCAAGUUGUGUAAAAUCUCUGUGCUUCCACUUCUGAGCUGUGUGAUCUUAGGCAAGGUGCCUGAUCUUUCUGGGCUUCCACUUCUGAGUCUCUUAUCUUAGGCAAGUUGUCUGACCUCUCUGUGCUUUCAACUUGGAGAUGUGUGAUGUUAGACUAGUUGCUACCUCUCUGUAUUUCCACUUUAGAGCACUGUGAUCUUAGUGAAGUUCCUGAUCUCUCUGUGCUUCUACUUCUGAGUUGUGUCAUCUCAGUCAAGUUGCCCGACCUCUGUGUGCUUCCACAUGUAAGCUGUGUGUUCUUAGGCAAGUUCCUGAACAUCUCUGUGCUUCCACAUCUGAGCUGUGUGAACCUGUGCAGGUUCCCUGACCUCUCUGUGCUUCCAGUUCUGAGCUGUGUGAUGUCAGGGAGGUUGCCUGACAUCUCUGUGCUUCCAAGUCUGAGCUCUGUGAUCUUAGGCACGUUGCCUAACCUCACUACGCUUCUACUUCUUAGCUUUGUGAUCUUAAGCAAGUUCCCUGACCUCUCUGUGCUUCCACUUCUGAGCUGUUUCAUCUUAGGCAAGUUGCCUGACCUCUCUGUUUCCAACACUGAGCUGUUUUCUCUUAGUCAUGAUGCCUGAC